rnacentral:rRNA from 1 species
UGGGGAAUUUUGGACAAUGGGCGCAAGCCUGAUCCAGCCAUGCCGCGUGCGGGAAGAAGGCCUUCGGGUUGUAAACCGCUUUUGUCAGGGAAGAAAUCUUCUGAGUUAAUACCUCGGGAGGAUGACGGUACCUGAAGAAUAAGCACCGGCUAACUACGUGCCAGCAGCCGCGGUAAUACGUAGGGUGCAAGCGUUAAUCGGAAUUACUGGGCGUAAAGCGUGCGCAGGCGGUUUUGUAAGACAGAGGUGAAAUCCCCGGGCUCAACCUGGGAACUGCCUUUGUGACUGCAAGGCUUGAGUGCGGCAGAGGGGGGAUGGAAUUCCGCGUGUAGCAGUGAAAUGCGUAGAUAUGCGGAGGAACACCGAUGGCGCAGGCAAUCCCCUGGGCCUGCACUGACGCUCAUGCACGAAAGCGUGGGGAGCAAAACAGGAUUAGAUACCCUGGUAGUCCACGCCCUAAACGAUGUCAACUGGUUGUUGGGAAGGUUCCUUCUCAGUAACGUAGCUAACGCGUGAAGUUGACCGCCUGGGGAGUACGGCCGCAAGGUUGAAACUCAAAUGAAUUGAC